CUAUAUAUUAUUAAUUUACUCAUCUUUUUCUUUGUUCCGGUUUUUCCUUUAUCUCUUGUUUUGCCUCCCAAGACCCUUGCUUGCAGAUAUUUACAGAAGAAAUGGCGACAACAACCUUCAACGCUCUUCCUUCCUCCCUAAGGCUUGAAUUGCCCUUUCUUCUUCCAUCGAAGCUCAACAAAGUUGGUUUUCCCUCGUUUUCGCUUCCCAACCCUACGCUCCGUCCUGUUAUCUGCAGAGCCUCGGAGUCUUCCACCGUUCCACCGAAGAAGCGUUCUUCUAACAACAGAAACUCAAAAAACAACAACAAAAAGAAAAAGAAUAGUAAGAGCAAAGCUAUAACUACUGAUUCCAACUCCGUUUACAAUAUUGCUCCACUGCCUCCACUUCCAACGUCACUUCCCAAACCGCCGGCGGGAUUCGUCGUCGACGAACGAGGCAAAGUUCUCAGCGCUUCCAUGGACCGACUUGCCACUCUAGUUGACCCGGCUAAUAACCUUUCCUUAGAGUGCGUUGUAAGGAGAGAGUUCACGAGUUCUCAAGGAGACGACUGUUUGUUGCUCUGCCCUGCUGACAUGCCUGUCCAGAUAGUGAGGCAUACACCGGAUGGAUGGUCGGAUGUCAGUGAUGAGGAGCUUGAAUCUAUUCUGCCCGCUGCUACUUAUGCACUUGCCAAGAUACAUUUGUAUCUUGUUAAUAGUGGAUACUGUUAUACUGCCCGUGGUGGAUUUUGUUAUUCGGAAGAGGACAUAUUUGACUUUCAUACAGAUGAUAAAGGAGACAGCUUGCCAACUGAAGGUGUAGAAAUUGUAAACUUCAGUGUGGAAGAAGCAUAUUACAUGAUAUAUACACCAUCUGAUCCACUUCUUUUUGUUGCGGUGAAGGAUCAGAAUGGAAUUUUGCAAAUUGCUGACGAUGUAAGUUGGCACUUGACGCUCGCUACAGAAUUUGGAACUGCUUGAGGAUCCUGCUAUCACCAGCGCUAUAGAUGAAGAGACUGAAUUUAAUGCCUUGGUGGAGGAAGAAGCUGCGCUCCUCGAUGGAAUGUUGGGCGAAAGAUAACCCCAUAUUUACUUUCUGCAAUAGAGCUGUCCCACACUCCCACCAAUGUUUUGCUUUUAGCGGGUUCGUUUGCGUGUUGAAGAAAGAAACUGCUAUUCGUAACUUAACCGGAUCUAAAAUGUUAUCCAACAUGAAACAAACAUGCAGUUAGUAUUUUUCAUCUGAAUUGUCCCGGCUUAGUCUGUUUGCAUGUCAACAAAUAUCUGGGGAUAGAACGGCUCCUUUCUCUGCUUGAUCAAUUUUGUAUGUAUGGUUCCUCCUUAUUAUUUGGAGUUUAAUUUUCAUACAUUAAUUUGUAAAUGUAAUUUUUUUAUCAUGACAAUUAUGAUUGAACAACAAUUUAUAAGUUUAGAGUA